UACGAAGGGUGCAAGCGUUACUCGGAAUUACUGGGCGUAAAGCGUGCGUAGGUGGUUCGUUAAGUCUGAUGUGAAAGCCCCGGGCUCAACCUGGGAACUGCAUUGGAUACUGGCGAUCUGGAGUGCGGUAGAGGGUGGCGGAAUUCCCGGUGUAGCAGUGAAAUGCGUAGAUAUCGGGAGGAACAUCCGUGGCGAAGGCGGCCACCUGGACCAGCACUGACACUGAGGCACGAAAGCGUGGGGAGCAAACAGGG
rnacentral:rRNA from 1 species